rnacentral:rRNA from 1 species
AGCGAACGCUGGCGGCAGGCUUAACACAUGCAAGUCGAGCGGGCGUAGCAAUACGUCAGCGGCAGACGGGUGAGUAACGCGUGGGAACGUACCUUUUGGUUCGGAACAACACAGGGAAACUUGUGCUAAUACCGGAUAAGCCCUUACGGGGAAAGAUUUAUCGCCGAAAGAUCGGCCCGCGUCUGAUUAGCUAGUUGGUAGGGUAAUGGCCUACCAAGGCGACGAUCAGUAGCUGGUCUGAAAGGAUGAUCAGCCACAUUGGGACUGAGACACGGCCCAAACUCCUACGGGAGGCAGCAGUGGGGAAUAUUGGACAAUGGGGGCAACCCUGAUCCAGCCAUGCCGCGUGAGUGAUGAAGGCCCUAGGGUUGUAAAUCUCUUUUGUGCGGGAAGAUAAUGACGGUACCGCAAGAAUAAGCCCCGGCUAACUUCGUGCCAGCAGCCGCCGUAA